rnacentral:sRNA from 1 species
GACUCGAUGAAGUCGAAAUGAAUGACAAUAGAGUUAUCUAUCCAAUCUAAAUACAUAGGGUAAUAAUAUUCAACCCCUUGUCAUAACGUAUAUAUGGUAAGGUUCUCAUCUGUGUACAAUUCAACCACCGGCCUAAAACAUCAUUGCAGAGACCACCGCAGUGAGAAUAGUCAACAAUCCUACUUGCCGUCCGAUACCCUUCACAAACAAACUCGGCCCAGACGAAGGUGGCGAUGUGGGACUGCCGCCAUCCCCAAUCACCUCGGGGAACAGCUGUCUUGUAUUCUGAUCGACAAGAAGGAAGUGUUUGAGCACCGCCUUGCCCUUCAAUAUAGACUCAAUCUGCUCCUCUGUGCAAACACCA